AUACGUAGGGGGCGAGCGUUAUCCGGAUUUAUUGGGCGUAAAGCGUGUGUAGGCGGUUUGUUAAGUUUAAGAUUAAAGCCCGAGGCUUAACCUCGGUUCGUCUUAAAAACUGGCAGACUUGAGUGCAGUAGAGGCAAGUGGAAUUUCUAGUGUAGCGGUUAAAUGCGUAGAUAUUAGAAGGAACACCAGUGGCGAAGGCGGCAUGCUGGGCGGUUACUGACGCUGAGCCACAAAAGCGUGGGGAGCAAAUAGGAUUAGAUACCCUAGUAGUCCACGCCGUAAACGAUGAGUACUAAGUGUCGGGUAACCGGUGCUGAAGUUAACGCAUUAAGCGCCCCGCCUGGGGAGUACGGCCGCAAGGCUAAAACUCAAAGGAAUUGACGGGG
rnacentral:rRNA from 1 species